rnacentral:rRNA from 1 species
UGGGGAAUAUUGGACAAUGGGGGAAACCCUGAUCCAGCAAUGCCGCGUGCGUGAAGAAGGCCCUAGGGUUGUAAAGCGCUUUCACCUGCGAGGAUGAUGACAGUAGCAGGAGAAGAAGCCCCGGCUAACUCCGUGCCAGCAGCCGCGGUAAUACGGAGGGGGCUAGCGUUGUUCGGAAUUACUGGGCGUAAAGGGCGUGUAGGCGGCGGAACAAGUCAGGCGUGAAAGCCCCGGGCUCAACCUGGGAGGUGCGCUUGAUACUGUUUUGCUAGAGUCCGGGAGAGGCGAGUGGAAUAUCCAGUGUAGAGGUGAAAUUCGUAGAUAUUGGAUGGAACACCAGUGGCGAAGGCGGCUCGCUGGACCGGAACUGACGCUGAGGCGCGAAAGCGUGGGGAGCAA